rnacentral:SRP_RNA from 1 species
GUGGCGGGUAGGAUCGGGAGCUAGCCCUGCCCUUUGCCCCAGUACGGGCUACAGGGGGGUCAGUAACUCUGGGUUGGUUCGGUUGAUGUUUCCGUUAUGCUCCUGGCACCUCGUGGAUGGCCUGCCCCGUGGGACCGGCGGUUGUCCACUAUGUCCCCGUAGGGGGGCAUGGUGGCGGUAGUCGGGCGAAUCGGUCAGGCCCGGGAGGGAGCAACCUAAACCCGGACGUUGGGUGCUCGCGGGUUUCCGGGCCGGAGGGGAGCCUGGGGUCUCUGGCGGGAGGUUGAUAUCGAGUCGGUCUAGGGGGCCGUCGC